rnacentral:rRNA from 1 species
AUUGAACGCUGGCGGCAGGCCUAACACAUGCAAGUCGAACGGAAACAGGAAGAAGCUUGCUUCUUUGCUGACGAGUGGCGGACGGGUGAGUAAUGUCUGGGAAACUGCCUGAUGGAGGGGGAUAACUACUGGAAACGGUAGCUAAUACCGCAUAACGUCGCAAGACCAAAGAGGGGGACUUUCGGGCCUCUUGCCAUCGGCUGUGCCCAGAUGGGAUUAGCUAGUAGGUGGGGUAACGGCUCACCUAGGCGACGAUCCCUAGCUGGUCUGAGAGGAUGACCGGCCACACUGGAACUGAGACACGGUCCAGACUCCUACGGGAGGCAGCAGUGGGGAAUAUUGCACAAUGGGCGCAAGCCUGAUGCAGCCAUGCCGCGUGUAUGAAGAAGGCCUUCGGGUUGUAAAGUACUUUCAGCGGGGAGGAAGGGAGUAAAGUUAAUACCUUUACUCAUUGACGUUACCCGCAGAAGAAGCACCGGCUAACUCCGUG